rnacentral:rRNA from 1 species
UCCUACGGGAGGCAGCAGUGGGGAAUUUUCCGCAAUGGGCGAAAGCCUGACGGAGCAACGCCGCGUGCGGGAGGAAGGUUUUAGGACUGUAAACCGCUUUUCUCAGGGAAGAAGAUCUGACGGUACCUGAGGAAUCAGCAUCGGCUAAUUCCGUGCCAGCAGCCGCGGUAAU